AAGACAUGCAAUACAGAAAGAAUUCCAGCUGUUUGUGAAGAUAUGGAGGCCCUCUUUUCAUUUUUCUUAAACUGAAUUUUACUUUAUUCUUUAAAAGCAUUAUAAAAUGAUUUUAUAAUGUUGGAGAUAUUUAAAAUAAAAAAAAUAUUUCAAAUGCUUAUAAAAUAUUUUCAGAAUUACCAGUGUGUACACCUGAGAUUUACGAGGUCCUAAUAAUUUUUAUACCUAGCUUAGCAAUUUACUCCAUCUUCUUCCUUUUAUCUAUCACCCAUCACGUUCCCAGUAUGCAUGAAUGCUUCCCUAAGACAGUCCUAUACUUUUAUUAGAUAGGGAUACCUAUGAGAACACACAACCACUAUUUGUAAGACUGAAGCAGGAGGAUCUCCAAUUUAAGUCUAGCCUGGGCUACAGGGGAAGUUCAAGUCCAGCCUUGGCAACUUAGACUCUAUCUCAAAACUAUAAGUACAAUGAGACUAGAAUAUAGCACAUUGGUAAAGCACUUUCCUUGUAUAUGUAAUGCCCUAGGUGCCAUCACCAGCAACAUACAUAUGUAGAUACACUUACAUAAAAGGUGAGAGAGAGAAUUAAAUUAGAUUGCACGACUCCUACUUUUGCUAUCAAGUGCUUUUAAAUUUGAGAGACCUUCUUAUAAAUCUUAUUAUUGUAUAGUCUCUCUUCUGAUUCUGGUGUCUUUUACUCACAUGGCAGAAUAACAUGUAUGUAUAAAGUUUUCAUUACAAAACUCAAAAUGAAAAGCACCAAUUUGAUCAUAUUCUUCUAGGACAGAUAUGUUAGUGUAGUUGAUAGUCUCCUAAGAGAUUUUACUUUGAACGAUUGCUACAUGUGCUUCAGUGGGAAACAAGUUCCAGUUUUAGCAAAGAGGGGAAGUUACCAAGGAAGACAACUUAUAGAGCCUGUUCCUGACCAAAGUGUGCUAGGAAUUUGUGUGACCAUUCACCGCCACUUGUAGGUAGAAUUCAUUUUGCCUUGUCUGUAUCCUUCACAGUCAUUCAGAAAUCACAUAGCCACCAGGAAGAUAGAUUUCAAAGAGGGGCUACAUAGUUUUGGUAUUCUCUAACAACUGAAGACUAAGCUUUAAUAAAAUGUCACAAAACAUGUAAUUUCUAGAUGACCAUUUCUUCAUAACCAAGAUAGACUUGCUGGGGAGUGAAUUUUUGAUCAUCACUGUGGGAACCCCAAGGUGGUGGGCUGAGCAUCAAUUAAAAGAAAUCAAUUUUCAGCAAUGAGAACUAAUUAUGCUUUCUCUUUUCCACCUAAGCAGAAAGUGGCUUUUGUGUUAUUUUGUUUGGAUUUUUUUUUUAAAUUUCAAGGAGAAUUGAAUUGUUGCACUCAUGCUAAGCAAAGCCAUAAAGUAAGUCAUUCAUUUUAUAAGAAGUCAUUCUGAGAUAAUCACUCCACUUAGCCUGGAGCAGUAGGAGAGAUUCUGUCCAGAAAGAGAGGGAGAGAGAGGAUGAGGAUGCUCCAGCGACUGACGCACGAUUGCCCAUUGGAUAAACCUGGAACAUCUGCCAACAUUUGCCGUGAUAACAGCCCUGCGAGAUAGAGUCCUGGUAGAUCCAACUGUGGCAAGCUCCCUCUGUCCGUGCUGGCAGCAGAUCAAGGACUCGGGCCGGCUUGGCACUGCUGAAGGAGGCCUCGCCAGUGACGGAGGCUUCACUGUUUGCAAGCACUCUGUGCAAACUGCCUCCACCUCAUCACAUUCUGGGUGUCCUGCAAGUUCCUUUCCAUUUUCCCAUCGUUUGCUUCCAAGUGUCUUUGAUAGACCGACCAUCGUUUCCCCUGGGAUCAAUGUAUCAUGAAAUAGUUUUUAAACAUACAAACCUGUAAGGCUCCUUUCUAAGAGUCUGCUCUAGUUAGCUUCUAUAAAGAAUUAUUUAUUAAAAAAUAUCCAGUGAGUUACAGUAAUUUAAUAAAGGCAAAGACCCAAAUACACAAUUAUGCCACUCCAACUACCUUAUUUUCCUUUCUUUACCCAAAACAAAAAAGCUGUGAUAGAAUUUUCUUCAUCUAGUGAGCAUGAAUUGGUGGAUGCAAUGUUCCUUUGACCCGCACUUAGAAAUGCUCAAAGCAUAACCUCCAUGACCUGGAGGCAGCGUCAUCUGCAUUUCUGUUUGCAUCGUUCUAACCGCAGGGUAGAGUAUUUAUUCUCCCCAGCCCUCACAUUUAGCAGCUUAGUUAAAGCUAAAGAAUCCCAGCGGCCUGAACUUCUGUGGACUGUCUUCAAUUACAGUAUCUAUUUAAAUGCCGCAAUGCUAUUGUUUGGAAGAUUCUAUUAUUGCUUGCUUAUACACUCACACAAAGGCAUGUUAAACAAUUAAACAUUUUUAAACCUU